rnacentral:rRNA from 1 species
CACGUAGGCACCAAGCGUUGUCCGGAUUUAUUGGGCGUAAAGAGCUCGUAGGCGGUUCGGUAAGUCGGGUGUAAAAACUCUGGGCUCAACCCAGAGCCGCCACCCGAUACUGCUGUGACUCGAGUGCGGUAGGGGAGCGGGGAAUUCCUGGUGUAGCGGUGAAAUGCGCAGAUAUCAGGAGGAACACCAGUGGCGAAGGCGCCGCUCUGGGCCGUGACUGACGCUGAGGAGCGAAAGCGUGGGUAGCAAACAGG